UAUGCCUGAAUCAGUUCAGUAUGGGAACAAAACUCUUAUUUUAAGUAAGAAUUUUAGUCUCAAAACUGAUGGGAGUAAAUACAAGGAUGAAUCUGGUAUACUCAAAGAUGGAUUCACUAGGUUGCUAGAUGUUGUUACAUUAAACAAUGUUGUUGAGUACAACUUUGGAAAAGUUGAUUAGUCUGUGUGGUUACAUGGGAUUCAUAUUGUUGUUCUUUCGGAAGGCGAUGAGUUGCAGUAUGGUGUAGAUGAGUCAUACAAGUUGUAUAUUAAUUCAAAAGGGAAUCCAAAUUAUGCACAUAUUGAGGCGGCUACGGUUUAUGGAGCUCUACACGCGCUGCCAUUUU